rnacentral:snRNA from 1 species
GUGAGGGUGAUUUGACUGUGACAGCUGUCACCCCAUCGAUUGCUAGGUUUGAUUUGACUGAUCUGGCUGCCUAGGCGGGUGUCCCUUUCCUUUCUCACCACGUAUGUCCCUCCUUGUGUUGUUGAAGAGGACAACCUUCCCCAAUAGAGGAGGACCAUUCUUCCGUCAAGGAUACAGGAGUAGCUUCGCUCCCCUGCUAGAACGUUGAAACAGGCUCUCAAGGUCCAUUUAUAGAAUAAUGUAGGGUAGUCAAACUUCCAGACACAUCCAAAUGAGGCACUGAAUGUGACAGUCUGCCUCUCUUU